UGACGAAGAACUAAAGGAAGUUCUAUGCCU
rnacentral:piRNA from 1 species